rnacentral:rRNA from 1 species
GAUCCUGGCUCAGGACGAACGCUGGCGGCGUGCUUAACACAUGCAAGUCGAACGAGAAUCUGUGGAAAGAGGGUUCGUCCAAUUGAAACAGAGGACAGUGGCGGACGGGUGAGUAACGCGUGAGGAACCUGCCUUUCAGAGGGGGACAACAGUUGGAAACGACUGCUAAUACCGCAUGACACAUUGAGGUCGCAUGGCCUUGAUGUCAAAGAUUUAUCGCUGAAAGAUGGCCUCGCG